rnacentral:rRNA from 1 species
CCUACGGGGGGCAGCAGUGAGGAAUAUUGGUCAAUGGACGAGAGUCUGAACCAGCCAAGUAGCGUGAAGGAUGACUGCCCUAUGUGUUGUAAACUUCGUUUAUAUGGGAAUAAAACGUUCCGCGUGUGUGAUUUUGUAUUUACGGUAUGAAUAGGGAUCGGCUAACUCCGUUCCAGCAGCCGCGGUAAUACGGAGGGUACGAGCGUUAUCCGGAUUUAUUGGGUUGAAGGGAGCGUAGGUGGAUUGUUAAGUCAGUUGUGAAAGUUUGCGGCUCAACCGUAAAAUUGCAGUUGAAACUGGCAGUCUUGAGUACAGUAGAGGUUGGCGGAAUUCGUGGUGUAGCGGUGAAAUGCUUAGAUAUCACGAAGAACUCCGAUUGCGAAGGCAGUUCACUGGACUGCAACUGACACUGAGGCUCGAAAGUGUGGGUAUCAAACAGGAUUAGAUACCCCAGUAGUC